rnacentral:rRNA from 1 species
ACGACUAGCAAGUCGAACCGGAAAGGGCCCUGCGUUGUCAGGGUACGUCGGAGUGGCGAACGGGUGGAGUAACGACGUGGGUGAGUCUGCCCUGCACUUCGGGAUAAGCCUGGGAAACUGGGUCUAAUACCGGAUAGGAGCCAUUUUUAGUGUGAUGGUUGGAAAGUUUUUUCGGUGUAGGAUGAGCUCGCGGCCUAUCAGCUUGUUGGUGGGGGUAAUGGCCGUACCAAGGCGGCGACGGGUAGCCGGCCGUGAGAGGGUGGACGGCCACAUUGGGACUGAGAUACGGCCCAGACUCCUACGGGAGGCAGCAGUGGGGAAUAUUGCACAAUGGGCGCAAGCCUGAUGCAGCGACGCCGCGUGGGGAUGACGGCCUUCGGGUUGUAAACUCCUUUCGCUAGGGACGAAGCUUUUUGUGACGGUACCUAGAUAAGAAGCACCGGCUAACUACGUG